GCUUUCCUGUGGCUCAGUUGCUAAAGCAUUGCAUUGACAAUGUAAAGGUCUUGGGUUCAUAUCCCAGGGAAAGCA